AUUUCUUUGAAUUGGAUUUUGAUCUAAACGUAAUUAAAUAACUCUAUUCAAUAAAGGUAAAAAAAAACAUUAUAGAACUCUCAAAUUUUAUGAAAAUGGGGAAAGUAAAAGAUUUUUGUUUCGUUCUUACGUAAGUGCAAAUAAAUAAUUGAGAUGUGGUGAAUAAUCAGCUAAAUUAGCCGGUAAUAUUGCUUAUUACACAUAAUACAAAAAAUAAAACAAAAAGUUUGAACAUCGUACAAUUUGUUUUUUAUUUGCUUGAAAAUGUAAAUUUAAAUAUCUGAUCGGACGGUUGCAUAACCAUUUACUCUUUCUUUUUAUAUUUUCGUCACUAUCAUCUUAAAAUGCCAGAAGAGAAAUUAACUUCGCCGUGUCAAGCAUAUGUCACACAGAAAAUAUUAUAGUUGGACACGUGUGUAGUCUGAAAAUGAGGGGCAUCUUUAGCUGGAUUUAAAGUUUAUGCAUCUUAUUUGGGCCUCAAUGAUAAGCCCGAUUUGUUGUAACCAAAUUGUCCUUUAGAGCCUUAACAACGACAAAAAAAGGAAGCGACUUCGUCUGUUAUCAGCUUCCUCCACCCCGUGAAGCUUCUUCUCCGUCCUCCUCCAACUUUCUUUACCAAGACAAAAACAAAUCGAAAUCAAAACUCGCAGAGAGAGAGAGACAGAGACAGAUUCAGAGAGCGAGAGAGAGAGAGAUUUGCCCGUGACAUAGCGAGGCAGGGAGAGAGAGAGAGAGAUCCGGCGUGGCGCAGAGAGGAGAGAGGCGGUGAGAGAGAGGAGACCGGUGGUGGUGACUCUCGUCUUCUCUACCGCUCAGUCUCCGUCAGUCUUUUCUCCAGCUCUUUCCCGUUUCAGAUCUAAUGAAGAAUCGUGAAAGUCCCCGGCGGCAUCGAAGAAGAAGAAGGAUUUGCCCUUUUUUUUGUGAAUCCGUAUUAUGAUUAGAAGCCCAUCACGAAUUAUAACAAAAUAAAGCCCAAGAAGAAUUCACUUAAAUGAAACGAUGCCGAGAGAAGCGUGGACACGUGUCAGCUAUAUAAAAAAGGAGUUUCCACGUGGACAGCCUAGGAGGGAGGCAAACAUAUUUAUAUAUAUAUAGACUAGGGAUUAACCCGGGCUACGCCCGGGAUUUUUAUUUUUUUCUAAUUUAAGUUGUUAAAUUAUUUAUAUUUAGGUUAUGAUAUAUAUUUAUAUAAAUGUUAAGAUA